AGAAUUGAAGAGAAGGAACAAUUAAUAGAAAAAACAGAAAGAUGGGAUCCUCUUCGUUUUUCAAAUCACUUGUUUUUCAUACCAUAUUGAUUGUUUCAAUCUUGGCCAUGAAUGCACUACUGCUUCAAGUUAAUGGAGGGCGUAGUCCAAGUCCGCCGCCUCCACCGCCUGUGAACAUUUCCCCAGUUCAGUCCAUAUCUCCGGCAGCAGUACAAGGUCAAUGAAAUAAACGGAUUAUUAGUUAUGGUUAUGUUGGAGAAACAGUGUUGUUUGUUGUUGUCAAAAGCUGACGUGCAUAGAACCAGAUCCAAAUCUAGUUUUGGGAAGUGGUGUGUGAUUGAUUAAUUCAGUUUCUCUAUGUUGUUGAAAAAUAAUUAAUUCAGUUUCUUUAUAUA